UACGAAGGGUGCAAGCGUUAAUCGGAAUUACUGGGCGUAAAGCGUGCGUAGGCGGUUUGUUAAGUCUGUUGUGAAAUCCCCGGGCUCAACCUGGGAAUGGCAAUGGAUACUGGCAAGCUAGAGUGUGUCAGAGGAUGGUGGAAUUCCCGGUGUAGCGGUGAAAUGCGUAGAGAUCGGGAGGAACAUCAGUGGCGAAGGCGGCUAUCUGGACAGAGUCUGACGCUGAGGCGCGAAAGCUAGGGGAGCAAACAGG
rnacentral:rRNA from 1 species